rnacentral:misc_RNA from 1 species
GAAAUGCGAUAAGUAAUGUGAAUUGUAGAAUUCAGUGAAUCAUCGAAUCUUUGAACGCACCUUGCGCUCCUUGGUAUUCCUUGGAGCAUGCCUGUUUGAGUAUCAUGAAAUCUUCAAAGUAAAUCUUUUGUUAACUCAAUUGGUUUCUACUUUGGUAUUGGAGGUCUUUGCAGCUUCACACCUGCUCCUCUUUGUUCAUUAGCUGGAUCUCAGUGUUAUGCUUGGUUCCACUCGGCGUGAUAAGUUAUCUAUCGCUGAGGACACUGUAAAAGGUGGCCAAGGUAAAUGCAGAUGAACCGCUUCAAUAGUCCAUUGACUUGGACAAUACUUUUAUGAUCUGAUCUCAAAUCAGGUAGGACUACCCGCUGAACUUAAGC